rnacentral:rRNA from 1 species
UACAGAGGGUGCUAGCGUUAAUCGGAUUUACUGGGCGUAAAGCGUGUGUAGGCGGUUUGUUAAGUCGGGUGUGAAAUCCCUGGGCUCAACCUGGGAAUUGCAUUCGAUACUGGCAAGCUAGAGUACGGUAGAGGGCGGCGGAACUCCGGGUGUAGCGGUGAAAUGCGUAGAUAUCCGGAAGAACACCGAUGGCGAAGGCAACCACCUGGGCCUGUACUGACGCUGAGGUACGAAAGCGUGGGGAGCAAACAGG